rnacentral:rRNA from 1 species
AGCUCCAAUAGCGUAUAUUAAAGUUGUUGCAGUUAAAAAGCUCGUAGUUGGAUUUCUGAUUGAGACAUCGGGUCGGGUCCGAGAGGAUCAUGUACUUUGAUUUGUUUUGAUCAUCUUUGGAGAGAGCAAUUUUGGCAUUCAGUUGUCGAGGUUGGGAUCUUCAUCGUUUACUGUGAAAAAAUUAGAGUGUUCAAAGCAGGCCUCGGCCUCUGAAUACAUUAGCAUGGAAUAAUAAGAUAAGACUCUGGUGGUCUAUUUUGUUGGUUUGCACGCCAAAGUAAUGAUUAAUAGGGAUAGUUGGGGGUAUUCGUAUUCAAUUGUCAGAGGUGAAAUUCUUGGAUUUAUGGAAGACGAACUACUGCGAAAGCAUUUACCAAGGAUGUUUUCAUUAAUCAAGAAC